UCUGAUGAUGAUCCUUCCCCUCAACUGAGAGGUGAUGAGCACACCGGUAGGCUGAGGU
rfam:Pyrococcus furiosus DSM 3638, complete genome.